CACGUAGGCGGAUUGUUAAGUCGGGGGUGAAAUCCUGGAGCUCAACUCCAGAACUGCCUUCGAAACUGGCGAUCUUGAGUCCGGGAGAGGUGAGUGGAACUGCGAGUGUAGAGGUGAAAUUCGUAGAUAUUCGCAAGAACACCAGUGGCGAAGGCGGCUCACUGGCCCGGUACUGACGCUGAGGUGCGAAAGCGUGGGGAGCAAACA
rnacentral:rRNA from 1 species